GUUGACCUCGGAUCAGGUAGGGAUACCCGCUGAACUUAAGCAUAUCAAUAAGCGGAGGAAAAGAAACCAACAGGGAUUGCCUCAGUAACGGCGAGUGAAGCGGCAACAGCUCAAAUUUGAAAUCUGGCCUCUUUAGGGGUCCGAGUUGUAAUUUGUAGAGGAUGUUUCGGGUACCCUCCGGUUUAAAUUUCUUGGAACAGAAUGUCAAAGAGGGUGAGAAUCCCGUCUUGGACCGGCGGUAGGGCCCAUGUGAAACUCCUUCGACGAGUCGAGUUGUUUGGGAAUGCAGCUCAAAAUGGGUGGUAAAUUUCAUCUAAAGCUAAAUAUUGGCCAGAGACCGAUAGCGCACAAGUAGAGUGAUCGAAAGAUGAAAAGCACUUUGAAAAGAGAGUUAAACAGUAUGUGAAAUUGUUGAAAGGGAAGCGCUUGCAACCAGACUUGAGCGCGGCGGUUCCCCCUUCCUUCUGGUUGGGCUACUCCGUCGCGUCCAGGCCAACAUCGGUUCUGGGGGUCGGUCAAAGGCUCGGGGAAUGUAUCUACCCUUCGGGCGUAGACUUAUAGCCCCGAGUGUCAUGCGACCUCCCGGGACCGAGGAACGCGCUUCGGCUCGGAUGUUGGCGUAAUGGUUGUCAGCGACCCGUCUUGAAACACGGACCAAGGAGUCUAACAUCUAUGCGAGUGUUUGGGUGUCAAACCCGGAACGCGGAAUGAAAGUGAACGGAGGUAGGAAGCUUCUGCUGCACUAUCGACCGAUCCUGAUGUCUUCGGAUGGAUUUGAGUAAGAGCAUAGCUGUUGGGACCCGAAAGAUGGUGAACUAUGCCUGAAUAGGGUGAAGCCAGAGGAAACUCUGGUGGAGGCUCGCAGCGGUUCUGACGUGCAAAUCGAUCGUCAAAUUUGGGUAUAGGGGCGAAAGACUAAUCGAACCAU
rnacentral:rRNA from 1 species